rnacentral:rRNA from 1 species
AGUGAACGCUGGCGGUAGGCCUAACACAUGCAAGUCGAACGGCAGCACGGUAAGAGCUUGCUCUUACGGGUGGCGAGUGGCGGACGGGUGAGGAAUACAUCGGAAUCUACUUUUUCGUGGGGGAUAACGUAGGGAAACUUACGCUAAUACCGCAUACGACCUACGGGUGAAAGCAGGGGAUCUUCGGACCUUGCGCGAUUGAAUGAGCCGAUGUCGGAUUAGCUAGUUGGCGGGGUAAAGGCCCACCAAGGCGACGAUCCGUAGCUGGUCUGAGAGGAUGAUCAGCCACACUGGAACUGAGACACGGUCCAGACUCCUACGGGAGGCAGCAGUGGGGAAUAUUGGACAAUGGGCGCAAGCCUGAUCCAGCCAUACCGCGUGGGUGAAGAAGGCCUUCGGGUUGUAAAGCCCUUUUGUUGGGAAAGAAAAGCAGCAGGUUAAGACCCCGCUGUUCUGAAGGUACCCAAAGAAUAAGCACCGGCUAACUUCGU